GCGCCAACUGCUUCUCAGUAAGCUCACGGCAGCGGCUUCGAUCGGACGCGACGAAGACGAGGACGACGACGAUGGGAGCCGAGAUCGAUAGGUCGGCCUGAGACUCUCAUCCCGCGAAUUUCUCUCAGAGCCAUGACGCGGGAGCUCGACUAGGAGACACUUUCGGGGAAGAGUUUGUUGAGAGGCAGUGAGCGAGGACAGGAUAUGGCGGGCGUUUUCGCGCUGGGACUGUUGCUAGGAGGCCUGGGACUGGUGGCGGCGAAUCAGGACGACAAUGUCCUGCACAUCGGCGGGAUCUUUCCCAUCCAGGGCAAGGGAGGCUGGCAGGGCGGACAGGCGUGCAUGCCCGCGGCCAACCUCGCCUUGGAAGACGUCAACAGGGAGAAGAAUCUACUGCCAGGCUUCACCCUCAAACUUCACUCCAACGACAGUGAGUGUGAGCCAGGACUCGGAGCAUCCGUAAUGUACAACCUGCUCUACAACCCGCCUCAAAAGUUAAUGCUGCUGGCCGGAUGCAGUACCGUCUGCACGACGGUCGCCGAGGCCGCGAAGAUGUGGAACCUCGUUGUGCUGUGCUACGGCGCCUCGUCUCCGGCGCUGUCGGAUAGAAAUCGAUUUCCGACUCUCUUCAGGACGCAUCCUUCCGCCACUGUGCACAAUCCGACGAGGAUCAAAUUGCUCCAGAAAUUUGGCUGGUCUCGCGUCGCUAUUCUUCAGCAGGCAGAGGAGGUCUUCAUUUCGACGGUCGAAGAUCUGGAGAGUCGCUGCAAGGAGGCCGGCAUCGAGAUCGUGACCCGACAGAGCUUCCUCUCGGACCCCUCGGACGCUGUGCGUAAUCUGCGUCGCCAGGAUGCCCGCAUAAUCGUCGGUCUGUUCUACGUCGUCGCGGCUCGUCGUGUCCUCUGCGAGAUCUACCAAAAUGGCCUGUACGGCAAAACGUACGUCUGGUUCUUCAUCGGCUGGUACGAGGACAAUUGGUUCGAGAUGAAUCUCGACAAGGAAGGCAUAAGCUGUACCAAGGAGCAGAUGCGCAAAGCUGCUGAGGGCCAUCUCACCACCGAGGCUCUCAUGUGGAACCAAAACAACGACACCACCAUCAGUGGCAUGACUUCCGAGGAUUUCCGUCAAAGACUCAACCAGGUCCUGAGACAGACUUACGAUAUUGACAACAACAGGUAUCCCGAAGGGUAUCAAGAGGCUCCGCUUGCUUACGACGCCGUCUGGUCCAUUGCACUGGCAUUCAACAAGACAAUGGAGAAGCUAAAUAAACAGGGCAAGAGCCUGAAGAACUUUACGUACAACGACAAGGAGACGGCCGACGAGAUCUACUCCGCCAUCAACUCGACUCAGUUCAUCGGCGUAUCCGGCUACGUCGCCUUUAGCUCGCAAGGUGAUCGUAUCGCCUUGACACAGAUCGAGCAGGUUAUCGACGGCAAGUACGUCAAAUUGGGCUAUUACGAUACGCAAAUGGACAAUCUCACCUGGCGCAACAUGGAAAAAUGGAUCGGGGGUAAGGUACCCCAAGACCGGACCAUCGUGAAGAAACUGCUGAGGACAGUGUCGCUACCGUUGUUCAUUACCAUGUGCACCAUUUCGUCAGUGGGCAUCGUCAUUGCCCUCGCGUUAAUUAUUUUCAACAUUUGGAACAGGCAUCGAAGGGUUAUAAUAUCGUCGCACCCAGUAUGCAAUACUAUAAUGCUGGUAGGCUGUAUAGCCUGCUUCAUUUCCGUAUUCUUGCUGGGUAUUGACGGUCGGUUUAUUGAAUCAUCACAGUAUCCGCGAAUCUGCCAAGCUAGAUCGUGGAUGCUGUCUAUCGGCUUUACACUAGCUUUCGGUGCCAUGUUCAGCAAAGUCUGGCGGGUGCACAGGUUGAACACCAAGACGAAAGCAGACCACGCCAAGUUAUUCAUAGCCAAGCAAAAAAUAUCCUCGAUCCAGAAGAAAGUCCAACCGUGGAAGUUGUAUACUAUGGUCAGUGCCCUCCUGGCGAUAGACGUGGUUCUACUGGGCGCCUGGCAGGGAGUUGAUCCGUUACAGCGGAGGCUCGAGGUCUUCCCUCUCGAAGCGUCGACUCAAGGCGACGACGACGCCAGAAUACGCCCGGAACUAGAGCACUGCGAGAGCGAACACAACAGUAUCUGGCUCGGCCUAAUCUACGGCUACAAAGGCGUAGUCCUGGUAUUCGGACUAUUCCUGGCGUACGAGACUCGCAGUAUCAAGGUCAAGCAGAUCAACGACUCGCGCUACGUCGGCAUGUCGAUCUACAACGUGGUGGUGCUUUGCCUAAUCACGGUGCCCGUCACGAUGGUCAUAGCUAGCCAACAGGACGCAAGCUUCGUCUUCGUCUCGCUAGCCAUCAUAUUCUGCUGCUUUCUCAGCAUGGCCUUGAUUUUCGUGCCUAAGGUCAUCGAGGUCAUACGCCACCCUAAGGACAAGGCUGAGUCUAAAUACAACCCCGAUGUCGGCAUGUCCAAGGAGGACGAGGAGAGGUAUCAGAAGCUGCUCAAUGAAAACGACGAGCUUCAGAAGCUCAUUGCUCAGAAGGAGGAGAAGAUCCGAGCGGUGAAGGCGAAGCUGGCCGAGCGAGACGCACUGAAGGGCGGAGGUGGCGGUGGAAGCGGCGGAGGCAGCGGCGGCGGCAGCAUCCCCAAGGACUCGCUGAUCGUGGCUGACUUCGUGACCGGCGAGGGCACCUCCGACAGCGCAAUCGGUGGGGGCAUUUCCGUUUAUACGAGAUCCUCUCGAGCUUCCGGUUCUGAUUUUGAAUUUUCAGAGUCGUACUUGUAAAUUCCGCUCUCGAUCGAUCGAUCGAUUGUCUUGCAAUGCGAUUAUCUAUCUAUCUCGUCUACUCCGUCGGACUGCGCCACGUAGUACAAAGAUUUUGGGACCUACACACACAAACAGCUCUAACGAACCUAUAGUGCUAGCAUAAAAGAGACAGACAGACUCGGUGCCGCCGCUAACGCGGAUCUUAAUGGUCUAUUAACUGCGGAUGAAACGACGUCGCGCGCUACACACUGCUGAGAUAACAAACGGAGCACAGCGUCGGCAUCUUGCGUCAGAAGAGUUGAAAGCGCGUCCAGUAUACUCUCGAUUAAUCAUCGCCCCCCCCGUAACCCAUAACCGAGGAAAUCAUUCGGACUCUCGACUCUUUUAAAGUUGGUAUAGCAAAGGGUGCGGCUGUAUGAGUAUAAAAACGAAAAAAGAAUCGCCAAGAGGAGAGCGCACGUGAAUUUCGAAAUGCACAAUAUGUGACGGGAGGAUGUAAGUGGAGCAAUAUACGCCGAUGCGAGGAGAUGAAGGAGGAGCUGAGAAGACGAACAAAUCGAUGUUGUGCACCGAACGUUCAAAUUACAUUAGAUCGUUUGUAUACAUUUAGCGGUGUAUCUCGAUGAAUCGCAUAUAUACCUAUACUGAAUCUCAAACUUUACUACUGUGGUUUCAAAGAUCUUUGUUUAAAAGAAAUAAGACGAUGAAACUUGUUUGCGGCGGAUGUAUCUAUCUCAAUCUCUAAUCACGCAUGUUCUCUAUACUUUGUUGAACAUAUACUGUCUUUUUCGGAACGCAUACAUGCGAGAAGUAGAAGGGAAAGAAGAAUCUUCGGGGAGGAUAACUGAAAAUUACUUCAUGCAAUAGUACGUAAUGGUAAUCAUACACGUCGAGUAGGUUGUGUGUAAUAGAAUGUGUAAAAGGAGAAUUUAAGAAGGAAAAAAGUUUAAAACGUCAUGGUUAUAACGAUAAAUUAUAAUUGAUAUGUAGGCUUGUGUAUAACCGGAGUUCGCAAGUUUAUCGACCUACAAAAAUGUAUGUACACAGGCGCAACACUCUGUGUUAUCGUAUACUUGACGUUGUACAGCAACCAGCAAUCUCUCAUUGAAACACAAUUAAAAUAUACUUAUAACGAGUCGUAUCGUACGGUUAUGAUAAUUGUCAUUUAUGUACAACUACGUGUGCAUAACUGGUAGCUGAUGUGUUCUCUUCGUGUUAUGUUUCAACGAUACAAUUUUAUGAUACUUUAUAACUUUUGUUAUUGACAACUAUUAUUAUUAACGUCCUCGCCGACUCAUACACGCCGACGAUCAUUGCGUGCGCAUAAAGUGUUAUAUACAUAUAUUGAGAUGUGAGCAUGGUUAUACAUAUACGUGUGUAUAUAUAUAUAAUGUUGUACGCACACGCAAAUAUACGUACGCGAGAGGAAUUAAGCAUGAUGGUGACGAUGACGACUUGUAUUCGAUCGAAAGCAUUCGAUGAAACUUGAUUACGCACUGCGAAUUAUGUACGUUAGAUGGUGAUAAAUAUUUAUUCCAGUUAUUUUUAAAUGAUAUAAGAUACAUUUGUUAAAAGAAAAAUAUACAUCUAUCUCUCAA